rnacentral:rRNA from 1 species
UACUCGAGUGGCGAACGGGUGAGUAACACGUGGGUGAUCUGCCCUGCACUCUGGGAUAAGCCUGGGAAACUGGGUCUAAUACCGGAUAGGACCAUGCUUUAGUGUGUGUGGUGGAAAGUUUUUUCGGUGUAGGAUGAGCCCGCGGCCUAUCAGCUUGUUGGUGGGGUAAUGGCCUACCAAGGCGGCGACGGGUAGCCGGACUGAGAGGUUGGUCGGCAACAUUGGGACUGAGAUACGGCCCAG